rnacentral:antisense_RNA from 1 species
ACGGAAUAGAGUUGCACACGCGCAUUGAGGCGUGUCUGCCUUCGUUCUGUGUCCGUGAAGUCCAGAGAUCCCCGAGCCUGGGUCACCCGGGCGGUGUCGCAUGCCGCCUGCGGGGAGGUUGGGGCUGCUCGCGCGAGGCGCUCUGGGUCUCAUUUCCGAUGCCGAAAAUGCUGGCUCCAAAGUGGUGCCCUGGGAGAUGAGGGCGACUUCCAGUUUCCACCCUGUUCUCUGAAUGGGCUUCCAGUCUCCAUGGUAACGGCCCCUCCCAGUUCCCCUGUGACUUCAUAGCUGCCCACGGGAGGGGAGAAAGCUGAUUUGAAGGGGCUGUGGGUUCUGAGCCAAGCUCUGUCUUUGAGGCCACCUACCCUAUACCACUCGUCCCGGAGAGCUUUCACCCUCUCUGGGCCUCAGUUUCCCUUUUUGUGAAAUAAUGUCUGGUGCCCCUGCUGUGCUCCCUUACUAUUUCAGGGCCUCAGGCAAGAGACACGCUCUGUGUCUCAGUUUCCGCAUAGGUAAAGUGAGGAUGAUGUUAGAAUUUGAUGUUAAAAUGUAGGUGGUGGUAUUAAGGGAACCUCAGAGCAAUGGCCGGCACACAAUGACCCAAGUGUCAGCGGCUUUGAUGAUCACCAUUCUUACCUUUUCUUUGGAGAUUUGGACAAGUUACCGCCCCUUCCUCCAGGGUCUUUGUGUGUUGAUCUGCAAGUUGGAUGUAUUGGAUUUUAUGACCACUAAACUUUCUUCUGAGCACACAAGAGCAGUGGUUUUGUUCUUUCUGAGAAAUACUACAGGGCUUGGUGUUAAGACACUGGAAUUCCGGAAACCUGUCCCUGUCAUACCAGUUGCUGUGACCUCCGUCAAUCAUGGUUCUUUACUGAGCCCUGAGAUUCCGCAAGCGAAAAUGGAUGGGGAUGAACUUCCAGUUCAGGCACUGCCACUGACUUUGCUUGGGGACCUGGGGCAAGCUCUGUGGCCCAGCAUUGCACCAUAUGUAACAUAACCAAGGGGUGCGCAACUGAACUUUGAGGUUGAUUUCGGUGCUAAAAUCCCGGUCAGUAGUUACUAGCGUCUUCACAGACCUCACCCUACCCAAUGCCUUCACUUUGUGCUCCGCAUCCCAGUCAACACUUAGUGAUUCCAGAUGUGUAAUUUUUGCCAUUGUAGUGAGAGGUAAUUAACUAUUUUAUGGUUUUUUAAAUUUGAAUUUUUGACUAUUAGGCUUAGCAUCUUUUUUUUUUUCUUCGUUAAAGACUAGUCAAGUGCAUUAGUGAGGAGGGGGGAAAGAGUAGAACAAGGAAUUUGGUCUGUAACUGACUGUGGACAAUACAUUGGUAGAACUCACUACCUUUGAGCCAGCCAGAAUCUUUAUUAUUCACUGGAUAUUCAGGUUUUGCCUCUGUAAAUUUCCUGUCUUUCAUUGCCUUUUUUUUCAAAUAGUUCAUUCAAUCUUUGUUUUCAGAUGUGCUUUCCACAAUCAGGUUACAAAUUCUCUGCCACUAAUGAUUAUUACAGUUCCUCUUCUCAGCC